UACGUAGGGGGCAAGCGUUGUCCGGAAUCAUUGGGCGUAAAGAGCGUGUAGGCGGCUUGGCAAGUCUGGUGUGAAAUCUUGCGGCUCAACCGCAAGCGGUCACUGGAAACUGCCUCGCUAGAGUCCGGAAGAGGAGAGUGGAAUUCCUGGUGUAGCGGUGAAAUGCGCAGAUAUCAGGAAGAACACCAAUGGCGAAAGCAGCUCUCUGGGACGGUACUGACGCUGAGACGCGAAAGCGUGGGGAGCGAACAGG
rnacentral:rRNA from 1 species